rnacentral:rRNA from 1 species
CAGUAGCCGCGGGAAUACGUAGGGUGCGAGCGUUAAUCGGAAUUACUGGGCGUAAAGCGAGCGCAGACGGUUACUUAAGCAGGAUGUGAAAUCCCCGGGCUCAACCUGGGAACUGCGUUCUGAACUGGGUGACUAGAGUGUGCCAGAGGGAGGUAGAAUUCCACGUGUAGCAGUGAAAUGCGUAGAGAUGUGGAGGAACACCAGUGGCGAAGGCGACUCUCUGGUCUGUAACUGACGCUGAGGAGCGAAAGCGUGGGGAGCGAACAGGAUUAGAUACCCCCGUAGUCCCUGUCUCUUAUCC